GAUGAACGCUGGCGGUAUGCUUAACACAUGCAAGUCGAACGGACUCCUCGGAGUUAGUGGCGGACGGGUGAGUAACGCGUGAGAAUCUGGCUUUGGGUUCGGGACAGCCACUGGAAACGGUGGCUAAUACCGGAUGUGCCGAGAGGUAAAAGAGAAAUUGCCUGAAGAUGAGCUCGCGUCUGAUUAGCUAGUUGGUGAGGUAAAGGCUCACCAAGGCAGCGAUCAGUAGCUGGUCUGAGAGGAUGACCAGCCACACUGGGACUGAGACACGGCCCAGACUCCUACGGGAGGCAGCAGUGGGGAAUUUUCCGCAAUGGGCGAAAGCCUGACGGAGCAAUACCGCGUGAGGGAAGAAGGCUCUUGGGUUGUAAACCUCUUUUCUUAGGGAAGAACAAAAUGACGGUACCUAAGGAAUCAGCAUCGGCUAACUCCGUG
rnacentral:rRNA from 1 species